rnacentral:lncRNA from 1 species
UUCACUAUAUCUUCGUAACUUUAAAUAUCCGAAUUCAUUACGGUCCCUCUUGUGAUACUCUAACCACCCCAUUUUCUAUUCUACCUCUAUUCUGUACUAUUAUUUAUAUUUAGUCAAUUUGAACUAGAGCACGAAUGUUGAAUCCACUUGUUUAUUCUUUCUCUUAAUUUCUUCCUCCCUGAUUCGUACAAGGGGACAAAACUAGAUAUGAGGGGAGGAGAAGGGUUUGGUGAAUGAGAGAUUUCAUUUCCAAUUUUAGAAUACAUACGUUGAAGUUCCACUGUUAUAUCAUUUCUUUCUACGAAAGUACAAGAAGCAACUAGAGGCAACUUCACUGCAGAUUGAUAUAAAUAUCGGGUGCGACAAAUUUAUUUCGAAUUUGAUGUUUACAAAUAACUAAUGAGUACAUACCAUGCAUUUUUUUAUUGGUAAAUUGGAUUUAUUUAUAUAUAAUAUGAAGUUUAUUGAGGCAAAACUUGUGGCAUCUCCACUACAGUCGUAGAGGUCCUAGUAAGUGCACUAUGCUGUACAACCUGAGCAUUAGUACUAGGACUAAUAUAAUACAUAUCACAAAGUGAUGAUGAAGAUUCACAAGACAGUACAAUAGUAGAGAUAGUAGUUGUUAAACUUCUAGCAUUACUAGCUAUUUCAUCCGCUAACUUAUUCUACUCUCUCUAAACAUGGUGCAUCUUAGGAUCGCCCAGAGCGUGGAGGAGGCACCUAAAAUCAGAUAUAAUACUUGAGUUAGAUCCUGUUUUAGUAAUUAGCAAAUGGACUAGCUGUUGUGAGUUUGUGCUAAUUUUAAGAGGAAAGAGAUUAUGUUGAUACGCCAACUGGAAACCUAACACGAGGGCAUGAGCUUCGCCUUCCAAAGGGCCCGAAGAGAUACAUGAUUCCUCAAACCCCAAGAGCCAAUCUCCUAAAUUAUUCCUAAAGACUCCCCCCUACCCCCGGGCAUAGUGGUCAGUUGAGUGGGCAUGACUUGCACAGUCGGUGUUUAACGUGAUAUUAGUUACUUCUGGAGGUUUCCACUUAAUGUACACUGGUAUAAUGAAUCUUUCAUUCUUUGUGGGUAUUAGUGUAAUAUACCACAAAUUAUAAUAAUUAUUACAGUUGAAAUGAAAUUAACAAAAAAUGAAGAAAAUAAGAUCAUCUUCUUUUUGGUCGAGGCGUGGAUAUCUCUCUCUCUUUAAGGAGAUUCAAGCCCACUGCAACAUAAUCUAGACAGAUCCAACAGUAUAUCUCUUGACCUGUUCCCUCCAGGAUACAACAACCCAUCAACGAUGUAUAACUCAAGCAGCCCUAGAUUAGUUGAAGAGUCCAAAGCUCCACCAUAAGAACACCUUCCUUCAACAUAUAAAACUCUCUUUUUAUAGUGAAUAUAGUUAAAGACUUAGAAUAUUUUCUUUGUCUCAACUCUAUCUUUCACUAAUUUAAUCACUCUCUUUUAAAUAGUGAAUAUAGUUGAAGACUUAGAAUAUUUUCUUUGUCUCAACGCUCUCUUUCACUUAUGUAAUCACUCUCGUUUGUAUAGUAAAUAUAGUUGAAGACUUGGAAUAUUUUCUUUAUCUCAACUCUCUCUUUCACUUAUUAUCUUUUUCUUAUUACUAAAUAUGAACACAAAGGAAGAAACAUCACUAUUUAUAGAAGUAGAAUUCUUCCAUGUAAUGAGUAGGAUGAAUAAGGGGUAGUAAUAUGGGUAGAUGAAUAGUCUUGAUGUUACAUAAGUUACAUGAACGUAAUGACUAUGGGUUACAUGAACUAAUGGUUAUCUUUUACCACAAUUCAUACCCACUAACACAAAAAGACAAUAUCGUGAGUUACAAGAAUAAUGACACUACUUUCUUCACUUUAUGCCUAUUAAUUGUCAUGUACUUUAAUAUUUUUAUUUCAAUAAAAAAAUGCACCAAUAGUAGGUCCAGCCAAAAACCAUAACUCACUUACAAGGUGAGAAAUGUAAUUCAAAGAAGGCAUUAAAUCAAUUCUAUCAAAAAUGAACUUAUUUCGUGCAACCCAGACAGACCAAAGACAAAAAAAUGGAAAACCUUAGGGGUUCAACUUAUGAGUACCCACUACUCCAAACUAGAUUCAUUAUAUAAAGAGAACUGGGAGGUUUAGGACAUGAAAGCUCGGGGUUAUAGUGCAUCUCCCCCUUAGGACAUUAUGUCCCCCGAAGAAUACUGACUUGGCUGAGAUACUGAGCAAAACUGAGGUGAUGCACAAGGCACCUGCUAACUGAAUCGUGACUGAAUAUCUGGGGACUGGAACUGAGACAUGAUACAUGAACUAAGAUGAACACGCAACUACCUGGUUGGUCCAUCUUAGAAUAGUUACAUUCAUGAGACUUCGGAUAGUGCGACUAGAUGGAAAGAUGGAAAACUACACCACACGAAUUUGUCCGUCUGACUGCUAAACUGAAUUACUGGCUUUACGGAGUAACUUAUACUGAAAACUUAUUCUCAACUGGAGCUUUUCUCUGACACUCUUUUUAUUGAGUUUCCAGCAACUUUAGGGAGCAAGAAAAGCUUGGCAUUGUUUGAAUAAGACAUCACAACGUGGCUAGAACUUUGUAAUAUGAGGCGAGGCCUACGAAUCAUCAUCUAAGAUAGAGUGACUAAGACUUAUGCACUACAAAUACCAAUUUUCAAGCUUAGACAUAUCCCUUGAAUACUCUCUCAACUAUACUCCCCAUCUUAGUACGACACUUCACUUGGGACUACUGAAAUAUAUUCGCAUGGUAACUGUGCACGAAUGCAUAAGCAUACUAACUUAUCUGAUUAACUGAAUAACUGAUAUCUUAAUACUGGGUCUGCAAGACUGAACUGCACUUAGUUUGAAUAACUAGACUGAAACUAUAGAGUAUCAUGUAUACGAGGUAAGGACUGGCAGGGUAAUAUGAGAUAAGUGAGCAUGAAUUCAUGAAAGCUGUAUUAUUUGAGAAUGCAAGACCAAGCAUAUAACAUGGUUCUGAAAUAUUAUGUAAGCUGAGGUACUGAAAUACUAAUAACUGAGUAACUGAUAACUGUACCCUAUGGUCGAGCAAACCUGGAACUAAAUUAAGUUUCAGAUUUGAUUAUUGGACUGAGACUACACUAUAACUAAGACUAUAACUUAGAUGAUGAUUCAGACGGUAACUGGGACUGAACAUACUGUAAGGCAUGAGUGCAGAAGUCAUGAGUUGCAUGACCUAAAUUUGGAGAUUCUGUGUUCAUGGAACAUGAUUCGUACUACUGAGUGAACUAGAAAUCCUUAUACUAAGAAUUGGAAACACACACUAUUCUAUGGAAAGUGCGUGAAUAUAAGCUGUGUUCAUGGAGCGGAGACGUAAAACAUGUGUAGGUAUCAUGAUGACUGAAGUAUAAAACUUUGAACUGAGGUAAAGAUGGGUUGGGCAUCAUUCCCACUCAUUAUUUUUCUACACAUACUAAUAUUACUACUGAAAUUUGGAAGCCUGACUUUCUGAGAUAUCAUAACCAAACAGUUCUUGUAUACCCGCUGGGCUAUGAUAGACUGACCCACUAGGGCGGAGGCUGAGAAAGGUUUUGUUAAUAUUUGGUCUGACUUUAAAGUUAACUGCUAUGGAAAGAGUUACAAAAGAUAAAGAAGCUCCUGGAUCUGAUGAGACAUAAACAUGUAAAUGAGAGGUCUAUAACAUACCAGUGACUACAUUAGGGGAACUUUAUCGAUCUUUCCUAGAAUGAAGUACAUAAAUCCUAUUUGGGCGCUGCCCACUGGCGAUACUGAAAGUGGCACCUUGCUGAUUCGGGAGACCGGACUGAGCUGAAGGACGACUGUGCUGACUUUAUAGACUAGCCUUAGGACAUUCUUAGACUCCGUGACCUGACUCGUCACAUUCAAAACACACAUCACUGCCAGCUCUACACAUACCCUUAUGAUUCAUACCAAAUUCUUAGAAAAAUGGAUUAGUACGAACCCCACUUGCACUACUCUGGGUUUUGGAGCCUGGCGCCCCAUUAUAACUGUAAUUAUUGAACCUUGGUACUAGUGUACUAGAUGAAGGUGGAACUGGGACUGAAAAAUUCUGACUAAAUCGAGAACGAUUACCACCCUCUGACCUUGGCUGGGCAAAACUAAAGCUACCAGUUCUAGCUCUCUUAUUUCCUCUGUCUAGUUCUAGCUCUCUUAUUUCCUCUGUCUAUCUUCUUAAGUUUCUAUUCCUCAAUCUAUUAAGCAUGGACCAUAAGCCUAGAUAUGUCUAUAUCCCUAAUCAACAUCGCAGUCCUGUACUCCUUAACCACUCUACCUGAUACCCCAGACACAAACUUACUUAUUUUAGAUCUAUUGUCUGCUACUAUAUGGGGAGCAUACCUAGAUAAUUGAGUAAACUUGAGGGAAUACUCUUUCAUACUUAUACUGCCUUAUCGGAGUUGAUGAACUCUAACACCUUGUCUUCUUUUAGCUCUAAGAGGAAGAAUCUAUCUAAGAAGGCCCUAGCAAACACUUUUUAUUCUAUGGGCUCUGCAUCUGCACCCCUGUCUACCUUUCACUUCUUAAACCACGUAUGGGCUACAUCUUAUAGCUGAUAGGCGGCUAACUCAGCACUCUUAUCGAAAGUCACUCCUAUGAUAUCUGUGACUUUCUAAACCUGAUUGAUGAAUUCUUGUGGAUCCUCUUCAGACCUAGAACCUGAGAAUAAGGGAGCAUUCAUUCGGGUGAAAUCUUAAAUCCUGGCUGAAGUAGUAUUGGCCACUAGGUUGGCUGGAAUAGUAGCUGGCCGUUCAUUCUGAGUUGCAACUGAAUUGGCCAGAGUAGUGAAUGUAGCCCUGAAUUCUGUAUGAAAGACGUGCUCGUCUAGGGGAUCUGCCUGAACGGGUUGAGGUGCUGACUGAUUUCUGGUUCUUUUUUUAUUAGUCCUUUUAGGAGGCAUGCUUUGUAAGCAAAAGAAAAAAAUAAAUUAUACUGAGAGUUUUACUGGAGCAAAUACUUACUCACACGACAUGAAUACUGAAAGAAGGGAAACUUUUCCUAAAAUAUCUCAUAGCCUCUUGUCUAUAAGUGUAGCGCGCUACACACCCAUGCACAAGAAUCUACUAGAUAUGGCUUUCCAACUUUCCAGGACUCUGUUGAAUCUUAGGCUCUGAUACCAAGUUUGUAAGGCCCCGAGUUUGUAUCCCGGACGCUACACGAUGCUUAUAAUCCUGAAGGACCACAAGCUACCUGCUAUAAUGAUUGAAUAAUAAUACUGUAAUAUGUGGAAAUUAGGUGGAAAACAUGCCAUAAGGUUUAAUACUAAAAUAAAACCAAAUACAGUAUAGCAAUACCAAAACAAAAAUAUCUGUCUAAAAAUACUCUAGUUUGAAAAGCCUUUAAACUGUCUGAACUGUGAAGUUAAUGGGACAAUCCCCCAACUAACUCCAACUACUGAAAGUGAACUGGUAACUGAAAUACUAAAAGAAAAAAAUUAUUUCCUUGAACUAUGAGGACUCACCGCUAACUCUAACUACUGAAAUUCUAAACUGCUAAGGGUGCUCGGGAGCCCGCACUUCUGAACCUAUGAUAUAAGACAUCAUAGCGCAAGAUAAAAGUAUGCAUCGGUACUUUGAAUGUAUUGGUAUGCUAAGUGGGGUAGGCUAAAAUAUGUGGGUUCAUAUGCAUGAACAAUACUGACUAAAUGACAUGAAUAUGACUGAAUGAGAGUACAUACAUGAAUACGUAAACUAUAAUUGAGAUCAUGAUAAUAAUGGAUACUGAGUCUGAAUAUUGAUUAACUAAUAUCUAAGUCUACUAAUACUGAAAUACUGAUGAUUGAGUGACUGUAUCUGACAGUCCUAAGUCUGUAGAACUAAACUAAGUUCUAUACUGAGACUGAAUCUGAAACUGAGACUGUGGGAAGUAAUUAUCUAACCGAUAUGCCCAUUUCUGAACUGACAGGGGUCCAACCUAUAACCCCAGUUGGAAGGGUGUUAGUACCGUGCCACGGGUAAAGACAAGCUGUGAGUUAACCCUCUCUGAUAGGAAGCUCUGUCAUCAACCCCUCGCUGGUAGGAAAACUCAAAUGAGAUAUAUCAACCCUAGUCUUGCAGUGAGAUAUCUCAACCUGCACUGGCUACAUAGUUCUGGAACGUAAGGAUUGCUUCUAAG